rnacentral:rRNA from 1 species
UACGGGGGGAGCAAGCGUUGUUCGGAUUUACUGGGCGUAAAGAGCUCGUAGGCGGUCUGUCGCGUCGGCUGUGAAAACCCGUGGCUCAACCCCGGGCCUGCAGUCGAUACGGGCAGACUAGAGUGCGGUAGGGGAGACUGGAAUUCCUGGUGUAGCGGUGAAAUGCGCAGAUAUCAGGAGGAACACCGGUGGCGAAGGCGGGUCUCUGGGCCGUAACUGACGCUGAGGAGCGAAAGCGUGGGGAGCGAACAGG